UACGUAGGGGGCAAGCGUUAUCCGGAUUUACUGGGUGUAAAGGGAGCGUAGACGGCAGGGCAAGUCUGAAGUGAAAGCCCGGGGCUCAACCCCGGGACUGCUUUGGAAACUGUCCAGCUGGAGUGCAGGAGAGGUGAGUGGAAUUCCUAGUGUAGCGGUGAAAUGCGUAGAUAUUAGGAGGAACACCAGUGGCGAAGGCGGCCUACUGGACUGUAACUGACGUUGAGGCUCGAAAGCGUGGGGAGCAAAC
rnacentral:rRNA from 1 species